GGGCGUAAGAGCUCGUAGGCGGUUUGUCGCGUCGGCCGUGAAAACUUGGGGCUUAACUCCAAGCUUGCGGUCGAUACGGGCAGACUUGAGUUCGGCAGGGGAGACUGGAAUUCCUGGUGUAGCGGUGAAAUGCGCAGAUAUCAGGAGGAACACCGGUGGCGAAGGCGGGUCUCUGGGCCGACACUGACGCUGAGGAGCGAAAGCGUGGGGAGCGAACAGGAUUAGAUACCCUGGUAGUCCACGCCGUAAACGGUGGGUGCUAGGUGUGGGGGGCUUCCACGCCCUCUGUGCCGCAGCUAACGCAUUAAGCACCCCGCCUGGGGAGUACGGCCGCAAGGCUAAAACUCAAAGGAAUUGACGGGGGCCCGCACAAGCGGCGGAGCAUGUGGAUUAAUUCGAUGCUACGCAAAGAACCUUACCUGGGCUUGACAUGCACUGGAAACCAAUAAAGAUAUUGGCCCCCUUGUGGCCGGAG
rnacentral:rRNA from 1 species